rnacentral:rRNA from 1 species
UACAGAGGAGCCAAGCGUUGUCCGGAUUGACUGGGCGUAAAGCGCACGCAGGCGGUCGCGCGCGUGGGGUGUGAAAUCUGGCCGCUUAACGGCCAGGCGCCACCCCAUACGGCACGACUGGAGUGAUGCAGAGGUCGAUGGAAUUGCCGGUGUAGUGGUGAAAUGCGUAGAGAUCGGCAGGAACACCAGUGGCGAAGGCGGCCUUCUGGACCAAUACUGACGCUCAUGCACGAAAGCGUGGGGAGCAAACAGG